GACGAACCGUGCGAACGUUAUUCGGAAUCAUUGGGCUUAAAGGGCGCGUAGGCGGAUGACCGCGUCGAGUGCUGAAAUCCCCCGGCUUAACCGGGGAACGGGCCUCGAAACGGGUCGUCUGGAGGCGAGGAGGGGGACCUGGAACGUCCGGUGGAGCGGUGAAAUGCGUUGAGAUCGGACGGAACACCGACGGCGAAAGCAAGGUCCUGGACUCGUACUGACGCUGAGGCGCGAAAGCCAGGGGAGCGAACGGG
rnacentral:rRNA from 1 species